GGCACUUGUGUUUGCUCCUUUACUAUUUGUUUAAUCAGUUCAUACACAAGGUGGAACAAGUAGGUGCCACCAAACGUGUACAGGUAAGCCACUUCGAAUGCUAGGUCUUGCACAUCUUUGCUCUGCACACAUGUGUUGUAAGCUGUGUUAGUUAGGAUUUUACUCAGAUCAGCUUUCCUCUGUUUGGACAUUGUAAAGGAAGCUAGUACAAGGAAAGAUGCAAUGGGCAAGCCAUGUAUCUUGGUCCAGAGGUCUAGGUUUUGUAUUGAGCUAAAUAGGACAAAAUCUUGGCUUAUCUCUCUUCACUGAAAUUGGGCCAGUCCACUCUUCGGCUCCUGUUUAUUUGACUGGCCAUAUUUUUCAAAUGAUCAGUCACAGUUAUACAGGCACGAUUGACUUCCUGUGUUUUUUCUUAAGAUAUCAAGAUUUAUAGAUCCUUAACCUAGGCAUUAUGACCAUGAAAGCCUAUUAGUUGAUGAUUUUGAUAGAGGUCAGCUGUUACAAAUGAUGUUAUUUUGAUAGAGUAUGGUAGGUGUUUGGUUUUUGGCCAAUGAAAAUGUUCUUGUAUUGAUAUUCCUGUUUCUACUCAUUUGAAAUGUUUCUGCUCAUUUGAAAGAUUAUAUGCAUGGUAGCAAAGAUCAUAUGCAUGGUAGUAGUUUGUUUUUUGGCCAAUGAAAAUAUUCUUGUAUUGAUGUUUUAGUAUAUGCAUAUGGUGGAGCAGGACCAAUUUCUGCUCAUUUGAAAUUUCUUGCAAGAGAUGGCAUGCAACUAUAUUAAGUUUCAGCUUCUUUGAUAUUUCCUGCAAGAGAAAGCUAACAACUAUUGAGUGUGAAAUGUUCUAGUAAGCCAGGGGUUCUGGAUGGUCAAAUUUUCUACGAGUAGGGCCUUAAUCUUCUAAGCUUUUGGUUCGUUUGCUGUUUAGUUAGUUUGCUAGCUGGGCCAGUUUUUGUCGUUCCUGGUGAAAUAUGCAAGUUGUCUCCAUCCUUGUUGGAGCCUUUCAUGUGGUCUAUUUGCUUAUUUGCCCAAGCUUCUUCAAGUUUUGUCUCUCUCAAAUUUCUGUCGUUCAAGUUGGAUUGGAGCUUGUCUUCAAGAUGGAUUGGAGCAUCAGUUUUAAGGAUGUGCAAGCAUGUAGGAAAAUUUGAAUUGACUUUUCUGUCUGACCUUGAGGGAGGCCAAUAGCCAAUAAAAGACUCCCAUGAUGGUUUGGAAGGUGAAUUAUGGAUGAAUUUGGAUGGUGACCUCUCUCCCAAAUGUCUGAAUAUCUUGCCAUUACUUUCUUCUUCCUCACAAUUGUCUUCAUCCUCUUUACAAAUUCUUCCUACUAACUUUCUAUUACUCUCUGUUGUGAGUCAUUGAUCUCAUUGAACUCUUUCACAGUACUUACAAUCAGAAUUAUGAUUGGCAGAUCAUGGUUGGCAGCUAUUUGUUUCAAGAUCCUUAGUAGAUCGAUCCAGGCUACUUAUCAUGUGCUAGGUUCCCUACUUUGGCAGGCUAGGAAUGUGAUGUUGGGUUUGUUCUUAGGAGCGGCAUUUUGUUUCCCUCUUGGUAAUAAGUCUUUCCCUGUUUCAGUGGAAGUUCUUGAUUCCAGUUUCUGCCUUCCAAUAGGAAAAGCUAAGAUAGAACGAGAAGGAAAAGAUGUGACCAUUACAACUUUCUCAAAGAUGGUGGGUUAUGCCCUUCAGGUUAGCCUGAUUAUUUGGCCUUGGGCCUAAUGUGGAUUACACAUCUGAUAGUCAGAGUGGAUUUUCAUACACAUCUUGGUGCCUUUCUUUUCUUUCUUUAAGGAAGCUUUUUAGCACCAUGGCUAAUAUUGAGUGACGCAAUUGGUGAUUGGAAUGGGCAGUGAUGGGCCACAUAUCUUUCAGUUUUUGUGGGUAGGAGGCAGUUGAGUGGAAGCUUUGGUGGGCAGGAGGCAGUUGAGUGGAAGCUUUGGUGGGCAGGAGGCAGUUCAGUCUGCAUCGAAAGCCAAAAGAUACUUUUUAUGAUGAGGAAAGGACUUAUCUUUCAGGUGUGACAAUUGAGGGAAGCUGAUUGCCUGAUUGCGUCUGACCUUGGCUGGACCUUUAAGCAUCCGACCAAAUCUUUAUGGGGACCGACUGUGAUGUAUCUGUUUAUCUGCACCAUUCAUCCUUUUU